rnacentral:rRNA from 1 species
UGGGGAAUUUUGGACAAUGGGCGAAAGCCUGAUCCAGCAAUGCCGCGUGUGUGAAGAAGGCCUUCGGGUUGUAAAGCACUUUUGUCCGGAAAGAAAUCCUUGGCUCUAAUACAGUCGGGGGAUGACGGUACCGGAAGAAUAAGCACCGGCUAACUACGUGCCAGCAGCCGCGGUAAUACGUAGGGUGCAAGCGUUAAUCGGAAUUACUGGGCGUAAAGCGUGCGCAGGCGGUUUGCUAAGACCGAUGUGAAAUCCCCGGGCUCAACCUGGGAACUGCAUUGGUGACUGGCAGGCUAGAGUAUGGCAGAGGGGGGUAGAAUUCCACGUGUAGCAGUGAAAUGCGUAGAGAUGUGGAGGAAUACCGAUGGCGAAGGCAGCCCCCUGGGCCAAUACUGACGCUCAUGCACGAAAGCGUGGGGAGCAAAACAGGAUUAGAUACCCUGGUAGUCCACGCCCUAAACGAUGUCAACUAGUUGUUGGGGAUUCAUUUCCUUAGUAACGUAGCUAACGCGUGAAGUUGACCGCCUGGGGAGUACGGUCGCAAGAUUAAAACUCAAAGGAAUUGACGGGUCAUAGCUG